UACGUAGGGUGCGAGCGUUGUCCGGAAUUAUUGGGCGUAAAGAGCUCGUAGGCGGUUUGUCGCGUCUGCUGUGAAAACCUAAGGCUCAACCUUGGGCUUGCAGUGGGUACGGGCAGACUAGAGUGCGGUAGGGGUGACUGGAAUUCCUGGUGUAGCGGUGAAAUGCGCAGAUAUCGGGAAGAACACCCGUGGCCGAAGGCGGCUACCUGGACCGGU
rnacentral:rRNA from 1 species